UAGCAAGCUAUUUGGAGAUGAACGCGAUGAGUUGUUGGUCGAGAGUCAAGAAUUACUUCAGAGAGGUGAGAUCGAGUUGGACAGAUCUCAAGAGUUCAUGAAGUAGAAUUUUCUACACAAGAUAUGGGACCGAUUGAAGAUUCAGUUUACGGAGUUGGUACAGUGGGAUGUUUCCGCCAGGAGGUUCAGGUUGAGUUAAUCAUAUACAACAAUUUCAGCAUCAAGAUAUGUGGUCGAGUGAAUUUCAUUGAUCGAUUAUGGUUUGGAGAAUAAGCCAAAUAUCAGAUGGAAAAUAUUUGGGAACUUUGCCAAGAAUUUUGUAGUAGAUAAAAGACCAUGGAGUCUCAGAGCUUCGAGGAGAUGUGAGAGUAUGACGCGAAUACAAAAGAAGUUAUUGCUGAAGAAGUUCACCAAAUUCUGCAGACCAUUUAAUUCCCAACCAGUGAAGAUCGAAGAUUAUUUUAAAUCAGUGGAUUAAGUCGCUGGGAUGAUUUUUGGUGUACGUUUCAUCAGAUCAAGAUCGAGGAGGCUGAGUUGUUAUGGUGGUGAGAUGCCAAGACAGCAUAGUCGGGAUCGUCCAAGUGCGAGAAAUUCUUGAUUAUUUGCAUUAAUGCGCUUCAGUGAUUCCCUUGUGAAGAGUAAGGAUGAUUAUUUUACCCUUGCCCAUAAAGUUACCCGGUUCCUUUGCCUAUACCUAGGGUACCAGUAGUUGGAUUUUUUCACGCUUCCUUACCGUUAGUCCACAUCCAAGUGUUAGGCUAUUUGGGUAGAGCCUACACUUUAUAGUUGACUGGACCGUCAAAACCCCUGAAAGGUCCAAUCACAUGUUUGCUUUUUAUCCCAUUGUGUGUUGUGUGCAUUUCUUAAAAUUUUAUGAAUGAUUAAAAUUAAAAAAUAAAAAUAAAAAUGUGAAUUGUGAUCAAGGUGUCGUAAGAGACCUUGCCUAUGGAUGGAAUUUUCCGUCCAUAUUGUGUUUGAUUCGGGAACCACACAUAGUUGUAGUUCCCGAGUAGUGUCAUAGUUGUAAGUAGGAUUCACUUUAGUGAAUUC
rnacentral:lncRNA from 1 species